rnacentral:lncRNA from 1 species
GGCUGGGCCCGAGCCGGGGGGCUCCCGGGCGGAGAGAAGCGGGCGGGCGUCGCCGGGCCCCUGGCCGCCGCCGCGUCCUGCCCUUCUCCUGCCUUUCCUCGACCCCUUCUCUUCCUCUGCCGCGGCCCCCGCUCUGCGGUCUCUGUCCCUCCGGGUGCGCGUCCCACCUCGCGGCCCAGGCCGCCUACCGCGUCUAUGCAGACCCUCUCCACACUCGGCUACAGAAACUCCGACUCGCAACUUUGCCGGAAUCUUCCCUCCAGAGACCCCUUUCCCUGCCUUCCGCGAGCAGCCCCCGCCCCCAACUGGCCGCCUGCCUGCCCUCAGCAGAAAACCGAGUCAAUCCGGAAAAACAGGCGCGGGUGCGGCGGGAGAGGAGCGGGGAGCCGGAUUAGGGAGGCCGAGGGGACGGGGGCGGCCGGGACUGAGAGACGCCCACGUUCCCUAACCACUGCUGAUGGCUCGUGCCAGGCGCGAUUGGCAGGUUCGAGCAGGCACAGUCAUUCCGCACACAGAUGUCCCUGCGUUCCCUCUUCUGAUAUGAAUCCUGUCAGCUCGGAAUCUGAGGGAGAUGAGCAGACAGCCGCACAGACAGAAUCACAGACAGACGCAGGCACAGACAGCAAUUGUCUGGAGGACACAGAACACGGUAGCUCUGAGGGCCGCACAACAUCACCCCUGAACUUCAGAGUGGAGUCUUCAGAGCCAGAGGCACCAAAACCUGAGAGGUCUAUUCCCUCACCACGCCGGACCCUCCCGAAUUCUGGAAUUGCCGCAUCGCCGCCGAGUUCUGAUUUCUAGAACACAGACAAGGUGCAGGUUCCCACGUUCUAGAAUCCCUGAAAUUCUAAACCCCAGAACUCCUGCCCUGAGCCAGGACAACAGUGCUCUGAGCGCCCAAUUACUCUACUGCCCUUUGCAGCCGAGGAGUAAGUGGGUGCUGUCCUGUGCCCCUGGGCCGAGGGUCCCUGCCAGCCUGGCCCUCACCCGAAGCCCCUGACCCCCUGCUCCCUGCCCUUACCCCCUGGCAACCAGCCAAGAGACACAGCCCCUUUGAAUUAGAGACUCCGAAGGCCAAGCCCCCUGGCUCCUGUCCCCCUCUGAUCCUCCCCACCGGCCCUGGCCACCACCGCCUUGCCCGUCCCAGCGCUGCGGGAGCGCAAGCAGCCCGGGCAGGAGCCAUGGGGGUUUGGGUGGCUCUGGGUAGCGGGAGCUGGUGGGAGAAGAGGAAACCGGCAAAAGGGGCGAAGAAACUCCCAGCGGCGCAGAUGGAGAAGAGGGGCGCAAAGGCUUUGGGGCUGUGGUUUGUUGGGUUGUGUUUUUUAAUCUUCUCCCUUUUUCUUUUCUUUUCUUUUUUUAAAGAAAAAAAGCCCCCAUCCUGUGUCAUCAUUUUUAUGGGAUCUGCAAUUCUGGCAAAAAUCUGUCUUUAAUUUAGCUGUCCAUAUAAAAA